UACGUAGGUGGCAAGCGUUGUCCGGAAUUACUGGGUGUAAAGCGCGUGUAGGCGGGAGGCCAAGUCUGCUGUGAAAUCGCCCGGCUCAACUGGGCGGGGUCGGUGGAAACUGGUCACCUGGAGGACGGUAGAGGCGAGUGGAAUUCCCGGUGUAGUGGUGAAAUGCGUAGAGAUCGGGAGGAACACCAGUGGCGAAGGCGACUUACUGGACGAUUGUUGACGCUGAGGUGCGAAAGCGUGGGGAGCAAACAGG
rnacentral:rRNA from 1 species